UGGAUAGGAGACAAGAGGGCAUCUUCUUGUUUUUAAAGACCUAGCAAUAGGUAUGCUUAGGGAGGAGCUUGCGUCACAUUAGUUAGUUGGUGGGGUAAAGGCCUACCAAGACUAUGAUGUGUAGCCGGGCUGAGAGGUUGAACGGCCACAUUGGGACUGAGACACGGCCCAAACUCCUACGGGAGGCAGCAGUAGGGAAUUUUCGGCAAUGGAGGAAACUCUGACCGAGCAACGCCGCGUGAACGAUGAAGUAUUUCGGUACGUAAAGUUCUUUUAUUAGGGAAGAAUAAAUGAUGGAAAAAUCAUUCUGACGGUACCUAAUGAAUAAGCCCCGGCUAACUAUGUGCCAGCAGCCGCGGUAAUACAUAGGGGGCAAGCGUUAUCCGGAAUUAUUGGGCGUAAAGGGUGCGUAGGCGGUUAAAUAAGUUUAUGGUCUAAGUGCAAUGCUCAACAUUGUGAUGCUAUAAAAACUGUUUAGCUAGAGUAAGAUAGAGGCAAGUGGAAUUCCAUGUGUAGUGGUAAAAUGCGUAAAUAUAUGGAGGAACACCAGUAGCGAAGGCGGCUUGCUGGGUCUUUACUGACGCUGAGGCACGAAAGCGUGGGGAGCAAACAGGAUUAGAUACCCUGGUAGUCCACGCCGUAAACGAUGAGUACUAAACGUUGGGUAAAACCAGUGUUGAAGUUAACACAUUAAGUACUCCGCCUGAGUAGUACGUACGCAAGUAUGAAACUUAAAGGAAUUGACGGGACUCCGCACAAGCGGUGGAUCAUGUUGUUUAAUUCGAAGGUACCCGAAAAACCUCACCAGGUCUUGACAUGCUUCUGCAAAGCUGUAGAAACACAGUGGAGGUUAUCAGUUGCACAGGUGGUGCAUGGUUGUCGUCAGCUCGUGUCGUGAGAUGUUGGGUUAAGUCCCGCAACGAGCGCAACCCUUAUUGUUAGUUACCAGCACGUAAUGGUGGGGACUUUAGCAAGACUGCCAGUGAUAAAUUGGAGGAAGGUGGGGACGACGUCAAAUCAUCAUGCCCCUUAUGACCUGGGCUACAAACGUGAUACAAUGGCUGUUACAAAGGGUAGCUGAAGCGCAAGUUUUUGGCGAAUCUCAAAAAAACAGUCUCAGUUCGGAUUGAAGUCUGCAACUCGACUUCAUGAAGUUGGAAUCGCUAGUAAUCGCGAAUCAGCAUGUCGCGGUGAAUACGUUCUCGGGGUUUGUAC
rnacentral:rRNA from 1 species